rnacentral:lncRNA from 10 species
GAAAGUUGAGCUAUGCAGUUUCAGCAGGUACAAGAUCUACCCCAGACACAAGAGGCGCUAUGCCAGGACCGAUGGGAAGGUUUUCUAGUUCCUUAGUGCAAAAUGCGAGGGCAUUACUUUCUGGAAUCCUUAGCAAAUAAACUGGUCCUCUACAGAAGAAAGCAUAAAAAAGGGACACUUGGAAGAAAUUCAAAAGAAAAGAACCUGCUGAGCAGUCAAAUUCCAGAAGGCCAUUACUGGUGCAUCUCUUGCUAAUAUAGUGGCCAAGAGGAAUGAGAAACAUGAAGUUAAAAAGGCUCAAUGAAAACAAGCUAGCAGGGCUGCUAAGGAAGCAAAAAAGGCUAAGCUAGCAUCUGAAAAGACCGCAAUGGCUGCUGCUAAGGCAGCAUCUACACAAAAGAUGGUGAAGCCUGUGAAAGUGUCAGCUCCCCGAGGUGGUUCAA